GUGUCAUGGUCAUUGUUGACCGUUCAUAUGAACCCUGCAAUUGCAAUGCAUUUUAACUUGUGUGGGGUUCAUAUAACGGUCAAUAGAGACCCUUGACAU
ncrna:Medicago truncatula miR2587a stem-loop (mtr-MIR2587a, mtr-MIR2587c)